rnacentral:rRNA from 1 species
GAUGAACGCUGGCGGCGUGCCUAAUACAUGCAAGUCGAGCGAACGGACGAGAAGCUUGCUUCUCUGAUGUUAGCGGCGGACGGGUGAGUAACACGUGGAUAACCUACCUAUAAGACUGGGAUAACUUCGGGAAACCGGAGCUAAUACCGGAUAAUAUUUUGAACCGCAUGGUUCAAAAGUGAAAGACGGUCUUGCUGUCACUUAUAGAUGGAUCCGCGCUGCAUUAGCUAGUUGGCAAGGUAACGGCUUACCAAGGCAACGAUGCAUAGCCGACCUGAGAGGGUGAUCGGCCACACUGGAACUGAGACACGGUCCAGACUCCUACGGGAGGCAGCAGUAGGGAAUCUUCCGCAAUGGGCGAAAGCCUGACGGAGCAACGCCGCGUGAGUGAUGAAGGUCUUCGGAUCGUAAAACUCUGUUAUUAGGGAAGAACAUAUGUGUAAGUAACUGUGCACAUCUUGACGGUACCUAAUCAGAAAGCCACGGCUAACUACGUGCCAGCAGCCGCGGUAAUACGUAGGUGGCAAGCGUUAUCCGGAAUUAUUGGGCGUAAAGCGCGCGUAGGCGGUUUUUUAAGUCUGAUGUGAAAGCCCACGGCUCAACCGUGGAGGGUCAUUGGAAACUGGAAAACUUGAGUGCAGAAGAGGAAAGUGGAAUUCCAUGUGUAGCGGUGAAAUGCGCAGAGAUAUGGAGGAACACCAGUGGCGAAGGCGACUUUCUGGUCUGUAACUGACGCUGAUGUGCGAAAGCGUGGGGAUCAAACAGGAUUAGAUACCCUGGUAGUCCACGCCGUAAACGAUGAGUGCUAAGUGUUAGGGGGUUUCCGCCCCUUAGUGCUGCAGCUAACGCAUUAAGCACUCCGCCUGGGGAGUACGACCGCAAGGUUGAAACUCAAAGGAAUUGACGGGGACCCGCACAAGCGGUGGAGCAUGUGGUUUAAUUCGAAGCAACGCGAAGAACCUUACCAAAUCUUGACAUCCUUUGACAACUCUAGAGAUAGAGCCUUCCCCUUCGGGGGACAAAGUGACAGGUGGUGCAUGGUUGUCGUCAGCUCGUGUCGUGAGAUGUUGGGUUAAGUCCCGCAACGAGCGCAACCCUUAAGCUUAGUUGCCAUCAUUAAGUUGGGCACUCUAAGUUGACUGCCGGUGACAAACCGGAGGAAGGUGGGGAUGACGUCAAAUCAUCAUGCCCCUUAUGAUUUGGGCUACACACGUGCUACAAUGGACAAUACAAAGGGCAGCGAAACCGCGAGGUCAAGCAAAUCCCAUAAAGUUGUUCUCAGUUCGGAUUGUAGUCUGCAACUCGACUACAUGAAGCUGGAAUCGCUAGUAAUCGUAGAUCAGCAUGCUACGGUGAAUACGUUCCCGGGUCU